CUUCUAUAUUUAACUUAGAAUAAUAAGUGGCGAUAGACAACAGUCCUUAUAAGAACACAGGGCAUACUGAUGUGAUUAGACACAUCAUUCAAAACCCAAACUGUGCUGGCAAAUUUUAUUAUUGUAGUCAAAAAUGUUUGCUCCGUCCGUAUGAACAACUGAAUCAAAUCACGCAAGAAUCAAAGCAAUGUCAAUUAUAAUCCCGAACAAAGGUGCAGAACCCGUUGCUUGGCAAUGAAGCUUGAUGGGAUGAAACACUGGCUCGCUUAAGACGUCACUGUCUGUUAUCUUUGAGAAUGUUGGAAUUGCUGUUGAGAUGAUUGAAAGAAAUUUGAGGGAAGAAAGGGAGAAACGGUAGAACCCUGAAAACCCUCGAAUCAAGGGAGAAACUACACAAACUCUACUCACAUCUGUUGGCAGUACGCUUGGGACCUGAUUACAUUUAGAAAGACUACGUGUAUGGGAAAAAGACGGCAAUUAUCACGAGAUGGCCCUGUUGACAUGCUAAGUAUUGCCUGUUCUAAACUUACUCCAGAAUACUAGUACUGACUCACCAGCUGAGCGGUGAAUUUUGUUUCAGCCAAUCACAGCGCGUUUUGCCGCCGGAACUCAUUCCCCGGCUACAGUAACCCAACAUUUGCGCAUUUUUAUGUUUUCUUUUGAUUAAGAUAUCAUAUACGUGACUACAAGAAGCAGAAAUAUGGAAAGGAAGAAUAAACACAAUUUCGAUUUAGCGCCA